UGGGGAAUAUUGCACAAUGGGCGCAAGCCUGAUGCAGCCAUGCCGCGUGUGUGAAGAAGGCCUUCGGGUUGUAAAGCACUUUCAGCGAGGAGGAAGGUGGUGAGCUUAAUACGCUCAUCAAUUGACGUUACUCGCAGAAGAAGCACCGGCUAACUCCGUGCCAGCAGCCGCGGUAAUACGGAGGGUGCAAGCGUUAAUCGGAAUUACUGGGCGUAAAGCGCACGCAGGCGGUUUGUUAAGUCAGAUGUGAAAUCCCCGGGCUCAACCUGGGAACUGCAUUUGAAACUGGCAAGCUAGAGUCUCGUAGAGGGGGGUAGAAUUCCAGGUGUAGCGGUGAAAUGCGUAGAGAUCCGGAGGAAUACCGGUGGCGAAGGCGGCCCCCUGGACGAAGACUGACGCUCAGGUGCGAAAGCGUGGGGCAGCAAACAGGAUUAGAUACCCUGGUAGUCCACGCUGUAAACGAUGUCGAUUUGGAGGUUGUGCCCUUGAGGCGUGGCUUCCGGAGCUAACGCGUUAAAUCGACCGCCU
rnacentral:rRNA from 1 species